rnacentral:rRNA from 1 species
CCUGGCUCAGAUUGAACGCUGGCGGCAGGCCUAACACAUGCAAGUCGAGCGGACGAGGAGAGCUUGCUCUCUGAUUCAGCGGCGGACGGGUGAGUAAUGCCUAGGAAUCUGCCUGGUAGUGGGGGACAACGUUUCGAAAGGAACGCUAAUACCGCAUACGUCCUACGGGAGAAAGUGGGGGAUCUUCGGACCUCACGCUAUCAGAUGAGCCUAGGUCGGAUUAGCUAGUUGGUGGGGUAACGGCUCACCAAGGCGACGAUCCGUAACUGGUCUGAGAGGAUGAUCAGUCACACUGGAACUGAGACACGGUCCAGACUCCUACGGGAGGCAGCAGUGGGGAAUAUUGGACAAUGGGCGAAAGCCUGAUCCAGCCAUGCCGCGUGUGUGAAGAACGCCCUCGGGUCGUAAAGCACUUUAAGCUGGGAGGAAGGGUUGUAA